UCUAUCUUUUAAUACUGGCUUUUAUUACGAUUUGCGGUUACUCAGUCAGAUUUUAGCUGCCGUCGGACGAAUAACGAACUAAUGAAGUUGGUAUUGUGCACGUAUUGUUGUGUAUGGGGCGUGCGGAUGGCGAUCACUUUGGUUUGACGCAAGAUAAAUGCAAUAUAUUACCUAUAAUUAUUUCAAAAUGGCAAAAAUGAAAGUAAAACAGUUCAUAUUCGAUUUUGUGCUUAACUUCGGAAUUCGCUUACAGUGACUAUAAUUUCGAAAAACAAUCGCUACAGAUGUUAAAAUAUUGCCACAUAGUAUACAAACUGCCCCAAAUAAAACAAAAAAAAGUAUUCUUGCUUAAAAUGACAUGUGAUACAACAACUGCGAUAACUGAGAAAAAAGAGAAAGUAUUAGUGUUCUGACACUAUGUGCGCUUAGUAGAUCAUGAAUGAUAAAGAGCGAUCGUAGACACAUACAUAUGUACCUACAAAUCUACUAAACUAUUUACCAUAUUAAUAAUAAGAACAACGAUUUCACUUUACGCUUUGCUGACCGCAUGUGCUUGCCAGUGGCGUUCUUGUCGUUGUCGUCAAAAUGACUGACUCUGAGCCAGUGAGUCUGGAAUUCAUUGAAGAUCCAUAUUUGCCCAAAUUGGAUAAUAUAACUCCAUCGCUAGAUGAGCCUACCGAAUUGGAUGAUCAUUAUGCCGAUUUGGCCAACGAUUGGACCAACGAGACUGAACAGUAUUUAAGAAAUUUAACAUUAGAUCAAAUUUUCUACGAUGUAGAUUCGGAUUAUACGAACACGCUUGAGCUUCAGGCUGUGGAAACAGAAUUUAUAGCAACAAAAUUAGCCAAGCAAUUGCCUUCAUCUUCGAUAGCGAAACGUUUUCGAUUGCGUUUCUUUACAAAACGUUCAAUGCGUGAGGUUAAAGUGACGUUUAUUGAUUUCUCCAAGCCUUAUUUGGCCAAGAUAUCGAGUAGUGAGAAUUACAAGAAGUUCUUAAAUAUUGGCACUCCAUCAGCUACCACAACAACAACAACAACAAUGACUAAAACAAACAACACCAAAGAUACUACUUCAAAGCUGUCGGAGCCAGCAUCUCCAGUUGCAUCUGUUGCAUCCGCAGAUAUAGCUGCCGAGUUUGCUGCACUUAGCGUUGAGGAGCAGGAGAGGCAACACGCCGAAUGGAGCCAAGAGCUUGCACGCGUUGAAGAGGAAAUAAAUACAUUGCGUACGGUGUUGGCAUCGAAAACGCGACAUGCUUCAGAUUUGAAGCGCAAAUUGGGCAUUACCAUGUGGAAGGAGAUUACAGACGAUAUGAAUCAAGGCUUGAAGAAUGUCAAAGAAAGCUCAGUUUUUCAAAGCGUCGAACAGAGCGUUGGUAAUCUGACAAAGGCCGUACAUGAUGCCCCAAUUUUCCAACGCACCGAAUCGGUGCUCAAGUCGACAACGGAAAAGACCGCGUCGGUAUUUGGUAGCAUAACCAGCGGCAUUACAUCUAAAUUUUCACAAAUGAAAAAUUCCGAAUCGAUGCGUUCGAUCGAAGAGAAGGUUGGCUCAGCCUAUGAGAAUGUUAAAGUAAGCUAUGAACACAACAAUUUUUUGUGUCAACCCCAUGCGACACGAGUGUCCACUUCACGUUCGGGUUCGAUUAACAGUUUCCCUGAUGCCUUAAAUGAAAACAAUUCAUCGUCCGGUCUGAAUUCGCCAACCGAUUCUGUUACAAAAUAAACGCGAAACAUUGCAAUUCCUCUAUUUAGUUUUAAAAUUACAAACCCAUUUGCCGUAAUUGCAACUUUGUAUCUUGUACUUGUAUUCAUACUAUAUUGUAAUUGUAAUUGCAGUCGAACAGUUUUCGCAACAAUUGCAAUACAACUACAGCACACACAUGAAGAAACAAAAACGAAACAGCUGAUCCACUGUCCUCAUGCAGCCAUGAGUGAAAGUUUUGGAAUUUUCUAUAAAUGCUUUAACCCGUGUAAUCCAAUGGCGUUUAUAAUGUUUCUGUUUCUGUUUCUGUUUCUGUUUAGCACUUAAUGCAUACAUAAAUAUUUGAAAUCACUACUUCGCAUUUGUUUUGAAAAAUGUUGCGUUAAUUAAUUAAAACAAAAACUACAUAAGCGUGAAUUGUGCUUAAAAAUUUGAAUAAUAAGCCGAGUUGUGUGCAGCAGCAUUUUUGAAAUUUAUUUCCAUAAAACUAUUGAUCUAAAUAUAUUCCACUUUAAUCAUACAAUAAUAUUGUUAAGUGUAUUUUUGCUAAAUAAAUAAAUAAAAAAAUAAAAAACAAUUGAGUGUACAUGUAUACAUACAUACAUUGAACAUAUGUAUAUGUAUUCACGAACAAUAUUAGUUUGUGCUUUUGUUUUGCUUAACCAAUGGGAAAUAUUAACAAGCAAAUAAACAACAAAUUGUGAAAUGAAUUUGUGCGCCCACUUCAUUGAAAUGCCUUUAGAGUUAAAAGAUUGACAGCAAAUGAAAAAUAGUUAAAUAAACAAGAGAAAAUGAAAUAUUUACUGAA